GCCGGUGUGGUGUAGUGGUUUGAGUGUUGGACUACAACUCUGGAGACCAGGGUUCAAUUCUCCACUCAGCCA